rnacentral:rRNA from 1 species
GGACGAACGCUGGCGGCGCGCCUAACACAUGCAAGUCGAGCGAUGAAAGUUUGACAGAUUCCUUCGGGAUGACGACAAACUGGAUUAGCGGCGAACGGGUGAGUAACGCGUGAGGAACCUGCCUAUCACAAGGGAAUAGCCUCGGGAAACUGGGAUUAAUACCCUAUGAGACUCCAGUAUCGCAUGAUACCGAAGUUAAAAUGAUUCAGUGGUGAUAGAUGGCCUCGCGUCUGAUUAGUUAGUUGGUAAGGUAACGGCUUACCAAGGCAACGAUCAGUAACCGGCCUGAGAGGGUGAACGGUCACAUUGGAACUGAGACACGGUCCAAACUCCUACGGGUGGCAGCAGUAGGGAAUAUUGGUAAUCUGGGAAACCGGGAACCAGCAACGCCGCGUGCACGAUGAAGGCCUUCGGGUCGUAAAGUGCUUUUUGAAGGGAUGAGGAAGGACAGUACCUUCAGAAUAAGCCUCGGCUAACUACGUGCCAGCAGCCGCGGUAAAACGUAGGAGGCGAGCGUUAUCCGGAUUUACUGGGCGUAAAGCGUGUGUAGGCGGUUUGAUAAGUUGGAUGUGAAAGCUCCCGGCUCAACUGGGAGAGGUCGUUCAAAACUAUCAGACUAGAGAGUGGUAGAGGGAGGUGGAAUUCCGCGUGUAGUGGUGAAAUGCGUAGAUAUGCGGAGGAACACCAGUGGCGAAAGCGGCCUCCUGGCCCAUUUCUGACGCUCAGACACGAAAGCUAAGGUAGCAAACGGGAUUAGAGACCCCGGUAGUCUUAGCUGUAAACGAUGUGAACUUAGUGUCGGUGGGGUUAAAUCCAUCGGUACUGAAGCUAACGCGAUAAGUUCACCGCCUGAGGACUACGGCCGCAAGGUUAAAACUCAAAGGAAUUGACGGGGCCCCGCACAAGCAGCGGAGCGUGUGGUUUAAUUCGAUGUUACACGAAGAACCUUACCAGGGUUUGACAUGCAAGUGGUAGGAAGCCGAAAGGUGACCGACCCUUCGGGGAGCUUGCACAGGUGCUGCAUGGCUGUCGUCAGCUCGUGUCGUGAGAUGUUCGGUUAAGUCCGCUAACGAGCGCAACCCUCACUGUGUGUUAUAUGUGUCACACGGGACCGCCGGUCUUAAGCCGGAGGAAGGUGGGGAUGACGUCAAGUCAGCAUGACCUUUAUAUCCAGGGCUACACACACGCUACAAUGGUCAGCACAAUAGGUUGCCAAGUCGUGAGACGGAGCCAAUCCUCCAAAGCUGGCCUCAGUUCAGAUUGCAGGCUGCAACUCGCCUGCAUGAAGUCGGAGUUGCUAGUAACCGCAGGUCAGCUAUACUGCGGUGAAUACGUUCCCGGGGAU